GUAUAUGUGUGUGUAUAUAUAAACAUUUAAAAACACAUUUAUAGUGUAAAUUUGUAUGUAUAUGUUUAUAAAUGUAUGACUAUGUAUAUUUAGCUAGAUUCCCUCCAAGUGUAUGUGACCCUUGCGUAUAGGCUGGCAUCCUCAUUUUAAGCAUCCCAUUUCCUAGGUGGAUCUGGAUAAGCUGGGACUCUUAGCUUGCAAGCACUACAUACCACCGUGGCUAAUUUGGGAACACAGAUAUGUAUCUACCUGUUUAUCUCUCUCUCUAUGAACAAAUUCCAGCUGUGUUCUUUGGCAUUUGGAGGGCAAAUCACUUUAGCAGACAUCUCUUCUUGCUGGCCUGGCUUCCUUUUCCCUUCUCUUGGUAUCUGCACCCCUGUUUUUCUACCUAUGGAUCUUUCAGUAUCUGUAAGGGAUAUGAGGUGAGCUCAUAGGCUAGAAAGGAGAGCUGAGCAACUGGCCUCACCCAGGGACAGGAGCCAGAGCCGCUCUGGGAUCCAGGCAUCAGGAGCUAAGGGUGAGCUUGGUCACGUUGUCUCCAUCAGGAUGCAUCAGCUCCUGCUGGUUUUGGCCUUUGGAUCUCUCUGCUCAGGAGAGAGGGUCUGGCUGGCUCCGAGCCCCAACUUGGCUAGGGCUGAGCGGAGCACGUUGAUUGACGAGACCAGGCUGUGUGCACUUGGGAGGAGCAGAACUCCCCAAAGAAGAGCAGGGGUGCUGAUACCAAGAGGAGAGGGAAGGGCAGAAACCGUAGAUGUGCCAGAUGCCGCUGCUGGGAUUUGUCAUCCCCUGAGGUGUAUCCUCCUUACCUCCUGGAGAGAGAGGUCAGGAGCAGAUGGGUUGCUGAGACCCUGAUCCCGCAGCUCUGGUCUGCGCAGCCGCCACUGUGCGGGAGAGUCAGCAGCCCCGGUGUUCCUCUGAUCAGCUCAGCGCCUGGCUGUGCCAUCUGGGGAUGUCUGAGUUGCUCAGGGGUGGGUUUUCCAGGUUCCCUAGAGCCAGGGCGCCCUUGGGGGCAUCUGCCAGCCAAACACGCUCACAGAUCCUGGUCUGUCAGCCCCUCUCCACGCCCAUCCCAGUCCCUGCCAUCGUGUCUGCCGCAGGCCACCUGGUGCUCUAGGUGUGUGCUGGGCAGCGCCGUGGCCUCUUUUCAGCCUUGCUUUGGAGUUUCUUGAUGUUCCUCGGUCCUGAGUCUCUGAAUUCGCAAAAAUGUGUUCUUAGUGACCCAGCAGUGGGUCCUGAGGUGUCCCGUGGUUCACUAACCCCGUGCUGCCCGGUGCUCUCAAGGAGCUUGCAGUCUAGUUGGGGAGAGCCAAGUGCUGCCAUGAAAGUGUUCAGGAGGGCAGCGUAGCCUACCAGAGAGAGCCCGCGUAUGCAGUCGGCCAGACCAGGGCGAGUGCGUUUUACAGACGUCCUUAAAGGCCGAUCCUUGAGUCCCUCAUCCUACCUCGUGAGGCAGCGGCGGCUUAGAUGAAUGACUGAUGUCAGGGUUCCUAGGCACCGCCUCUUGCACGUAGUAGGCCUGCAUAAACAGGGUUUUAUUACAUCAUCCAGCGUGUUUGCCUUGGUUUCCAGGAAGUGUGGGCUCUGGGAGCACCAGCGGCUCAGGGUGGGCCUGGGGGACAGGGAAGGCUCCGUGCAAGAGGUGGGACUUGAGCAGUCCUGGACAGAGGGAUGGGUUUUAGCCAUGCGGGAAGGACAAGGGACAGCCUUCCAGGCCCGACUGAGCAAGGUGGGGAGGCGUGUUGAGAAGGGGGAGCCUGAGGGCAGCAGGACGAGAACCAUGGGCAGGACCUCACACUCACGUGGGCUGCUGCUAUGUGUGCAGCCCCGAGGAGUGAGAUGAGCGCGGAGGAGGAGGGCCUCUGACCCGAUGCACCUUGGGGUGGGCCUCUCUGGGCUGGAAGGGGAGCGUGCACUGAGCACCUGCCAUGUCCCGGCACGGUGCUGAGUGCUCUCGUGACCGUGGAGGGUGGUGUCGGGACGCCCGUCCACCCUACCAGCUGUCUCUGAGCAGAGCAGGCUUUACAGAGGAGGCAGGCUCUCGGGGAUUGUUAGGAGGGCAGGAGGGGGGCUCAAGGACAGGAGGACGAGUGUUUAGCGGGGGAGAAGGCAGGGAAGGGGGAGGAGGACAGUCAGGCGAAGGGGUUCUGGAUGAGCAGAGGGCAUGCGGAGGUGGAGGCAGGACAAAGAAGGGGUUCUUGGAAGCCAGAGAAAGGGCCUAGUGCUACUGUCUGGGACCAGAUUGUGGUGGGCAAGGAAUUGCUUCAGUAGACGGCCUGCUGGCUGGAGAAGACCCCUUUAAUGGUGGUACUUGCCAUCACCCCUGGUGGAGCAUUGAGACUGCCGGGCGGGCGGAAGGUCUGAGUAGCCCCUGAGGUUUGGAGAAGGUGGUGAAUGUGACCUGUGCUGGCAGACGCAACCUUCUGUUUGUAGGGCAUCGAAGGAAGUGGCAGUGGGUGCAGGAAGGAUCCUGAGCCUUCCGUGCUCCCUAGAGUGAGCAUCGGCCCCCAGUGUGUCUCUCUGGAAGAUCAGAUGUGUCCUGAGGCCUGACUGGGCCCCUGUCUGCUCAGGGCAGCUUCCCCUGCCUGUGGGCUGGAGCUCGGACCUAAAUCAGAGUGACAGCUUGUCAGGCUGAUGAGCUGGGCUCUGGGCGAGAGCUCUGUGAUGUCUGAGCCAUUUAGGACACCACCGUGACUGGGCCUGGGGUCCUGGGGCCCCGUGGGGAGGAGGUUGGGGACCCUCAGGAGGGCCGGGGUGGGGGUGAAGGAAUGUUGAUGCAGUGGGAAGAGCUGAGCACACAAGGUGCUUGAUUUGUUACCAUUUAUGGCAGCCAAAGAGAACGGCAUAGGCCCCCCUCUUCCCUCCCCCUCGGGCCCCCCUUGUCUGCCCCUUUCUCAGCCUGCCUGAUGGGAGGAGGGGAGUCUGUGUGAAAAGUGCAUGUUUCACAGAAAGCCACUCCCUCCCUCUGAAGAGGGCUUGGGUCUGACUCAGGAGCUGGGGGAGGAAGAGUGACAAGAUGCUCAGCAUCCCUCAUUUGUUUUCUCUCUUCUCUUGGAUUGAGGCACCUCACAACUUGGGGUUUGGCGGGGCAGGGUCAGCUGGACAGCCCCUCCGGCAGCCUGAGGAAUCCUGGUGUGCCCAGCCACGUAUCCUCCAUUUCCUCCCUGUUUCUUGAAGUGCAGGAGUCCUGCCUCUCAUGUAAGACAAGCGCCAGUUAUCUCUCAGCUGUGCUUGGGAUCAAGGUGGCAGAGUGGGAAAGAGCAGGGGAUGGGGCACAGAGACCCGAGAUCUGGUCCCAGCUGGGUUGCUGACUGGCUGUGUGACCCUGGACAAGUUACUUCCCCUCUCUGGGUCUUAAGUUUCUAUUUCUGGACAAUGAUAGACUUGGAUCAGCUCCUCUCUGAGGUUCCUUCAGGCUCUCACAUCCUGUGCUUUUAUACAUUUCUUUUGCUCCCUUUGUUUUCAAAGAGCUGACUAUUCUUUAGAAACUUUAUCUUCCUCUUCCUCCUAGUAGCCUUGGUAGAAUGAGGGACCAGGGGUGAUUCCAUUACGUCUCAUAAGUUGGCAAACGGAGGCAGGCGAGAGGGAGGGAGGACCCAUUGGGCAGGACGGGUAUGUCGUCAGUGUGCCGGAACUUGCUGCCAGAACCUCACGGAACUGCCCGGAUUCUGCUGCCUGGAGGCUCACAGGCGGAGCAGCAGCAGCUCCGGGCACAGGAGCCCUUGGGUUCCAGGCUGGACGUUCCCCAGUGGGCUUUGACUCCGUGGACCUCAGAUUCCUUGCUCAGUGGCAGGGAGAGAAUCUUCCCUGUUACCCCAUUUCCCACGUUCGGGCAGGACGAGGUGGAAGUCGUGGCUGGGGUCUCAGCCACAGUGGUAGGUCGGUGUCCUGUUCCCGUCACCACACCCCCUCCCGCCCCGCCCUACCCCCGGCUGGGAGGGCUGUCACCCCCUCAGCAGGGAAUGAGGAGGCGGGCUGCUUUAUUAAGCACCCACUAGGAGGAGUGCGGAGCACGUACCUUGUUUGACACACAGAACUGUCGUGGCUCCCCUCCUAUUGUUAGACGCUUUAAUUGCGAUUGUUCCAAUUCCGCCCUCCAGCAUUCAUCAUUAGGAAGAGCCUUCUUUUUCCUUCCUACUUCCCCCACCCCCUCCACAGUGUCUUUGCUGUUCCCUCGCAUCACUGUGCCUCCCACCUCUGUCUCUCCCGGCUCUCCCGCUUCACCUCCCGCUUCUAUGGGGCAGCCCCAGCCGCCUCCCGCUCCCUGCCCCUGGCUGGGACUCCCAGCUGCCUCCCCACCCAGACUCAGGGCUCCAAGCUCCCCGUUCAGUGGGUCUCCAUGGUGGAUUCCGGGAGCUGCCCUGGCCCUCAGCAUGGUUGUGAGGACCCACAUUGAGGGGUGUCGUCCACUGGAAAGCACGGCGCAUGUGCAGGGCGGUGUUUGUCACCCCCGGAUCUCCACUGUUGCGGCUGCGUCCUCCUUUUCUCCUAGGGCCCCUGCCUCUGUCCUUUUUCCAACUCUGUCAGGACCCUGGCGAGCGAGGAAAGAGCCUCGACCAGGAGCGUGGGUCCCCUCGCAGCUCUGCUAUGGCUGCCCCAUUAGGGCCUUUGACUUGAGUUUCCAUCUGUAAAAUGGCAGUGAGCCUUGGCACUGGGCUGCCAACCUGGGAGAGUUGUCGGGAGGGUGCGUUGACGGUGUUCAUGAGAGUUCUCUGAGGUCUGUAAAAGGUGGUGCUGGUAGAAAUUGGGUUCACUGUCUUGUUUUUCCUCCCGUGACUUCCUGUUGUCCUCUCUGUUUGGUUCUGCCACCACCUUUCCGCCUUCCUGUUUCCAAGGGGGCCAUGAGGCCGCAUGGUGGUUUUUCUCCAGUCUUUCUCCAGUCAGGCAGCCAGCGUAAGUGUGUGACUAAGGAUGGGAUUAAGACGGGCACCCGCAGGGGCUGACCCUCGGCAAGCUGCUCGUGGCUGUCCAAGAAGUGCCGUGACGGGAGGGUGGUCCCUGCUUUACCUCCGCAGUCCCUUCCAGGGUUCCCGAGGUUCUGCGGGGGCUCGGAGUGGAGAGAGUGGUUUGGCCUGGUCAGAACUACAAAUGCCCCUACAGAUUCAUCUAGGACUUCUCUCUCUGGCUUGUUUAGGCUCGUUCCUUCUGUCAGGAGGUUUGCAAGAUGUCCCAGGAUCACAGAGAGCCGGCUCCAUUGUCCCAGUGGGUGAUGCAUCUGACCCACUGUGUACCCAUCCAUCGCCCUGCCCUCCCUCAGGGUGGCUCUGGCCUCAGCUUCCUCCCAGAGUCCUGUGCUGGGAGUAAGGUCAGGCCUUGCCCCACCUGGCCUGGGGCUGGUCUCCAAGCUUGUAAGUCUGGCACUUUGAUUGACAGGAGUUUGAGCAAAUUUGCUUGCUUGGGGUUUAUCUGCCCUGUGGGGAUAGUCGCCAGCCCGGCAUGCUGUGAAAAGUCGAUGGUUUCUGCUCCGACCGUGGAGAUCUGGAAGUAGAUUUGGAGGCAGAGCUCCCACAGGUGCCUGCAUCACUGUAAAUCCACACUGAGGACAGCGGGAGGUCCUUUCCUUCCCCCAGAGACGUCCACACCCACCCUGGGCACGCGGACUGGUUUAGGGGAGGCUGUCUGGGGGCGGGGGUGCGAUGGGGUGAGCUGGAAGGCUUUUCCAGCUUCAGCUCUCCCUGUGACCAGUAUUUUAUCCUGUCUCUGAGGCAACCAAAGAGCAUCUUCUGCUCAGGGAGGUUUACCAGAGGGUCAACGGCCUUAGUUUGCUUUUAGGGAGACGGAGUUCUAGAGAGAGAAGGUGUUAUGUUGAGGGUCCAGGUCACACUGGGAAUAAAUAAAGCCUGCUUGGCUGUGGUGGAACCUGCUGGAACCCCGAGUGCCCUAGUGGGCAUGGAAAGCCAUUUGUGUUAGGUGUGGGCAGGAGGUGGCCUGGCUGCCCGGUGCUGUGGAUUCCCAGGGGUUUAGCUCGUGCCCCUUCCCGGCUUCCUGAGAAGGCCAUUGUGGCCCACUUUCUCCACAGAACCACAGGCGCCUGGGGCAGGCGUGCCUCCUUUGCUGAGGCCCUGACCUCUGGCCUUUAGACACAGGCACCUGUGGCCCUUGCUGCAGGGACGCCGAGGAUCCUUCUGGGCCCUUGUGAAAUUCCAGGCCAGGACACCCACCAGGGCCCACUGUCCUGGAGGGGGCUGGGCUCCCAGAAUGGGCCUCUGAACCAUGGUUGGGCGAAGGGCUGGGGAGGAGAGAGAGUGGGGCAGAGGGCUGGGAGAGGCCUCGCAGCGGGCAGCCUGUGGCCUUGCUGCUUGAUUUCCUGGAGUUAUUUUUCCUUGUGUCUUUCUCUGUUUGACGUUCCCAAACUUUUAUUCAUGUCUCUCCCCCUGCUGGGUUCUCUUCACCUCACUGUAUUUAGGAGAUAACUGGGGAGAUGUGUCUUCCGCACCACCCCUGGCCUGAUGCCCCUUGACCUUGAAUGUGGGGGGCCGGCCUUGGAAACCCUUCUAGGAAGGCAGCCUUGGGUCCCCUGAUGGACAGGUCCACUGACUGGGUUGGGGGUGGAUGUAGGUGCAUUCUCGGUGUUGGAGAGGGAAGGAGGGAGUGGAAGCAACCCUGCCACAUCCAGUGCCCGAUUUCUCUGAUGUCUGUCUUCUGUGUCACUGAGGCGCAGUGAGGGGCCCCUGUUGGGGCGGAUGGCCUUUCAGGGGAGUGAGGGCUUCACACUGUUAUGCAGGCACAUUUUUCUCCCUUCACUUGCCCCAGGAAAUUGGAAGAGACUUCCUUUGGGAGGAGGAAAAGAAAAUCAGAACACACAGAGACUAAGUUCCUCUGGCUUCAGCUGUGUCCUGCCUGCAUCCCUGCACCCACCCUUCACCCCUGUCCCCCAGCAUCUGAUUAUCCACCCCUUCUCUUCUUCCGGAGCUUCUCUAGCUGCCUGGUUUGGAAGUGAAAGGUCAUGUGGUGGGAAGAGCCCUGGCCGCUUGCUAUUGGUGUGAACCUGACAAGGUGCUCAGCUCUCUGAGCCUUGGCUUACUCACCUGUCAAGUGGGAUCGGGAUAGCUGCCUUCUAGGAUGGUUCAAGGAGUAACUGGAAUGCUGUACGAAGAGGCUUCAGCCCACUGCAUGGCACGCAAUGGUGUGUUAGGGCCAAGUGAGGUUCGUGUGGGUGGAUGAUCCUGCUGGGGCAGCGUGGCCAUGCUCCUUGGUGGGGUGGGAUGGGGGACGUAUGUUCAGAGUUAGGGUGUGGGUGCCUGGUUCCUGUCCGUAGCCCCCACUUCCUCAGCUGGGCCUGGUUCUCUCUGGGCUUCGUUUUGGCUUUCUCUUCGUCUGCUGCUCCCACCCCUCCCCCAGCUUCCUUCAGGGCAGGAGAGGAGGACGGAUGUUCCAUGAGGGCUUUGAGAUCUCAGCAGAGAUGGGGGGAGUCGAAGGUGGGGUGUUCUAUGCUUUUAGGAUGCUCCCUAGGGGCUCAGUGUCUACACCAGAGCUGAGGCCUCUUACAGAGCUCUAAAAGCAGAGCUGGGAGGGGGCGCCGGGGGCCUGCGUCAGCCAGACCAGCCGGGGACCUGGAUGGGCAGUGACUUCCUCACCUGGCCUUGCUGGCGGGUCUAAGACAUGUCUGAGGGGAGACUGGGUGCCCCACUUAGGCCUUGGCAGAGAUGGAGUGAGAGACACAAGCAGGCCCUGAGAAGGGGGGCGAGGAGGAGGAGGAGAGGAAAAGGAAGGAGCGGCUUGGAAGGAGAGGCGCAGGGACAGCCGGUGAGGCGGGUGGAGGCAGGCAGAGCCCCCAGUAGCGGCUGCAGGGGCUGCACUGCCGGCCCCCUCCCUGCCCGCAGUGAUUAAGACAUCACCAGCUGCCUGUGUUCUGAGCUCCGUGGCUCUCUGCUGCCAGUAACAAAUGCAUCUGGCUGGAAUCUGGGUCAUUAAAAAAACAACCUGAUAUUUCUCUUCUUCCUUCACCCCCUGGCAAUCCAUGCCCUGGAAUAUAGCUGGCACCCCCAAAAAGGGCUGUGGAGGUGCAGGGAGCCAGAGUGGACGUGUUGGCUGUCAGGGCCACUCAGCUAGACAGACAGCCGCUCUUGCUGGCUGUCUGAGUUCCGUUGUUGUGAAGCAAGGGCCCUAAAUGGAGAGUGACAUGCUGGAGACGAGGGUUUACAGGUGGUUUUGCCUCCCGCCGGCUCGGGCAUGGGCAAUAUGGUGGCUGUGGUGAGCUGUGAGCGUGUGCCCCGAGUCGGGCAGCCUCAGGUUUGACUUCACGAUCUAGCAAGAUUGCCCAGCCUCUCUGGGCUCACCUUGUUUCCUCUGUGAACAGUGAUGAUGACACUCGGCCUGUGCCAGCGGUGGGGUAGUGGUUGUUGGGGGGGUGUGCAGGGCGUGUCCUUGCCCAGCUCUCCAGGAAGGGUACCCCUGCUUCACUGGUCAUGAGUACUGUCUUGUCUCUGUUGAGUAGCAUGACCCGAGGGAGCUUUGUUCACUUAACCACAGGGCCAACCUCGAUUACCCCGCCUUGGGAUGGGCACCUGACCAAGAUGGACCUUUGAGAGGAUGGAGGGAGAGUUGUCCAUGCCUCGUGCCAGGAAUGAAGGAUCAGCCAGGCAGGAGCUCUCUUAAACUGAGACCCCUUUUAAGACUAUAAAGGUUUGUACAUCUUGCUCUGGGGUUUAGGAAUACAGAUGAGUACGGAGAAAUAGAGAGAAGGUGGAAGAGAUGAUGAAAAAAGGAAUAAAUCUAGCAAGUUUCUUGGAAGAGCCCUGAGUUCUAGUUACCCACAGCACCUUCCAUUUCUGAGGGCUUACACUGUUUGGACCCUGGUCUGAGCUCUUCACCUGUGUUAUUCCUUGUCCAGCUGAUUCCAGAACCUUCCAUGCUCCUAACCACUAUGUUGCCCUUUACUGUCCCAGGCUGGUGAUGGACCAAGGAAUGUGACUUGCAGUAGAGCUCUCAGGGUUGGCAUGGUCCUGGACAUCAUCCCAAAUGCCCUCUAGCGGGUCUGGGUGGGCAGACAGCAUCUGGCUGGUAGGCUGCAGGUCCCAUGGGUGGGAACCCAUGUGGCAGGCACCUCUGCCUCAGGGGCCAAGCCUCCCUCUGUCCCUCUGGCGGCACGCAAAUAGCUCUGCAGAGGGUGGCCAAGGUGCUUUGCUAGGGGCGGGGAGCAUGUGGUGGGGCUGAGGGGCGGGUGUGCAGAAGAAUCUGAUAUUGAUGUGUUUUCCUGGGACUGACAGGAGGGCCCAAGCCCAGAGAUUUAGCCCUGCCAUCCUUGGCUGUGGGGGAUGUUCCUGCUAGGCUGGGGGGACGUCUCAAUAAGAUGUGAGACCUGCUCCCUGCCCCCAGGGGUGUGCGGCCUGCUCCUCGGCCAGCAGAGGAGCCUCCGGUGGGGAGGGCGGAGCAAAGAUGGCUGUGGUUGCUGGGUUCUGCCCUUCAAAGGACAGCCCUGCUCAUCAUAGAUCUUGGAUGUGGACACUGGCCUUUUCCUCUAAGAUGGUUCCCAGUUCUGAAGCCAUCCUUCACCCGUUGCUCUUUUCCAAAGUUGCAGAGAGAUAUUUCAAGUCACCUUUUAUGGCUCUGGGACAGGAGAGCCCUGGAGCCUCGGCAUCAGGCUGACCUUUUGCAAGUUUGCUGGCUCUUGGUGGGGUGGAGGAGGGGAGAAAAACUGUGGGACAUGGGACUAGUUCACCAUCAUGAACACGCCGUCAGGGCUUUCCAGGGCUCCCCUGAUUGCAUGGGUAGGGGAAGACAUCCUCUUGUUAGGGCCCCUCUCGGUUUCUCAGCCCAUCCUGUACUCGAUCUUUCCCUCAUUUGUCCGUUCAUUCAUUCAUUCAUUCAAAUACAUACUCAUGCUGGGAAAGACAAGCACGGGGGUACAGCACAGUCCUCAUCUUGUCAUGACUAGGUGGCCUUGACAUGCUGAGAGGUUAUUCUGUAUUGAAGGGAAUUAUUAAAGAUAUCUGAACAUCUAAUCGAAGCUUUCCUGUUGACAUCACAAAAUGUGUAGUUUAUGGAACACUGGGUGAGAAUGUGUUGGAAAGACUGUGAGCAGCUGUCUCAGGUGCUCUGUUAUAAACACAUCUCCUUAGAACUGCAUGGGGUUCUCUGCCAUCUUUUCCUGAUGAUUCUUCCAAUCAAUGUCUAUUGAACUUUUACCGUGCUCAAAGCACAGCACUGGACUUGGCCCUGCCAGGAUGCAGGAGGGAGGGGCACGGCCAUCCCUGACCUCGGAAGGGGAGGGUGUAUAGGUGAGCAUUCCUGCUUCCUGCACCAACCGCCCUGGCUCCAUCCCAGGUGGGGCCUGGUUGGCCUUGGGGUAACUUGUCUGUCCAGAGUUGGGAGUGGCAGCAGCUGGCAGGCUUGGAAGCCCUGCCGGGUUGGACUGUGAUGGUGGCAAAGAGAUGGGUAGCAAGUGCCUCCUGGGCAUUCACCAG